GCCGGGGUGGCGGAAUUGGCAGACGCAUCGGACUUAAAAUCCGAUGUCCCGUGAGGGACGUGCCGGUUCGAGUCCGGCCCCCGGCA
rnacentral:tRNA from 1 species